rnacentral:rRNA from 1 species
GGUUACUGCUAUUGGUGUUCGACUAAGCCAUGCAAGUCAUAUGUUCCUCGUGAACAUGGCAUACUGCUCAGUAACACGUGGAUAACCUGCCCUAGGGAAGGGGAUAACCCCGGGAAACUGGGGAUAAUACCCUAUAGAUUACAGAUGCUGGAAUGCCCUGUAAUCCAAAGUUCCGACGCCCUAGGAUGGAUCUGCGGCCGAUUAGGUUGUUGUUGGGGUAAUGGCCCAACAAGCCCGUAAUCGGUACGGGUUGUGGGAGCAAGAGCCCGGAGUUGGAUUCUGAGACACGAAUCCAGGCCCUACGGGGCGCAGCAGGCGCGAAAACUUUACAAUGCGGGCAACCGUGAUAAGGGAACCUCGAGUGCCUGUAAAUGCAGGCUGUUCAGGUGCCUAAAACACACCUGAAGAAAGGGCCGGGCAAGACCGGUGCCAGCCGCCGCGGUAAUACCGGCGGCUCGAGUGGUGGCCGCUUUUAUUGGGCUUAAAGCGUUCGUAGCUGGGUUGUUAAGUCUCUUGGGAAAUCUGGCGGCUUAACCGUCAGGCGUCUAAGGGAUACUGGCAAUCUUGGAACCGGGAGAGGUGAGGGGUACUUCGGGGGUAGGAGUGAAAUCCUGUAAUCCUCGAGGGACCACCUGUGGCGAAGGCGCCUCACCAGAACGGCUUCGACAGUGAGGGACGAAAGCUGGGGGAGCAAACCGGAUUAGAUACCCGGGUAGUCCCAGCCGUAAACUAUGCGCGUUAGGUGUAUCGGUGACCACGAGUUACCGAGGUGCCGAAGGGAAACCGUGAAACGUGCCGCCUGGGAAGUACGGUCGCAAGGCUGAAACUUAAAGGAAUUGGCGGGGGAGCACCACAACAGGUGGAGCCUGCGGUUU